UACAGAGGGGGCAAGCGUUGUUCGGAAUUACUGGGCGUAAAGGGCGCGUAGGCGGCCUUCUAAGUCGAACGUGAAAUCCCUGGGCUCAACCCAGGAACUGCGUCCGAUACUGGAAGGCUUGAAUCCGGGAGAGGGAUGCGGAAUUCCAGGUGUAGCGGUGAAAUUCGUAGAUAUCGGGAGGAACACCGGUGGCGAAGGCGGCGACCUGGGCCGAUAUUGACGCUGAGGAGCGAAAGCGUGGGGAGCGAACAGG
rnacentral:rRNA from 1 species